UACGUAGGGUGCGAGCGUUGUCCGGAAUUAUUGGGCGUAAAGCGCGCGUAGGCGGCUACUUAAGUCGGAUGUGAAAGCCCUUGGCUCAACUGAGGAAGUGCACCCGAAACUGAGUGGCUUGAGUACUAAAGAGGGUCGCGGAAUUCCCGGUGUAGAGGUGAAAUUCGUAGAUAUCGGGAGGAACACCGGUGGCGAAGGCGGCGACCUGGGUAGAUACUGACGCUGAGGCGCGAAAGCGUGGGGAGCAAACAGG
rnacentral:rRNA from 1 species